GAGACAGAGAGGAUGAGGGCAGCUGAGGAACAGCAAAUUCGUGAAUCACCUCUUCCCUGUAUGCUGAAAAUUUUGAAUGAGAAGUGACACCGUGAAAGGCGUGGAGAAGCAAGUUCCAUUUGGAUACAACAUUAGCAGAAAGAACCUGGGGAGCUGCUCAAGGGGAAAAACUGCUUCUUGCUGGUACUACCUAAGAAAAUUGUGAAGAAUUUGGUGACAGAAAGAAGAGGGAGAAGGAGAGAAGAAUGUUGGGACAUUGACAAACUUACUCAUGGGGAGGCAGGAACUUAUCAUCUGUACAGAAAAAUAGUCAGUCUGUUGCAUUUCUGGUUAUCUGGAACUCACAGAACUCUCCUGAACGCAGCAGGACCACAGUGCUUGAUUUGAGCUCCCUGUUGCGUGUGUGUGUGUGUGUGUGUGUGUGUGUGUGUGUGUGUUAUAGUCCAGGUUCAUUAAAAACCAGUGCAUCUAUGGUG